UUAUUCAAAUGAUAGGCAAAUUAAAAACUCCAGAUCCAGAAAAUGUGCAUUCAUAACUACAAAAUUGACAGAGUCACUCCCAACCAUAAUUCAUUCACACAACCAAAAGCAUGAUAAAAGAAACAGAACAAACCAUAUCCUAAACACCCAGAGACAUUACCAAAGAGUUGAAUAGCUUCCCUAACUAAAAGCGAUAGGAUUCCCUAGCAAUGUUGAGUAAUAUUUGCAUCUUAAAUUUAGUGCUUUCCUAUGACUAGGACCUAAUUAUGUUUACAAGGGAUAAUUGACUCUUUUACCACUAACAUAUUUUUGUUUGUGUUCUUUUGCUUUCCCCGUCCUUUAUAAGAAACAAAUUCAGUAAAAGGCAGAGAAACAACCCAAGUGUACUUGAAGUGUACUAGGGGGAUGGGGAUAAACGAAAGGCAUGCCCAUGCUUGAAUGAAAGUUGUGUACUUGUUGCAUUAGUCGCAGGAUUCCACCUAAGCUGAAACCUGUAGAGAUUGCACAUUAUACAUGUCCAUAUCUUUAGGAUUAGGUUGUUUUGGAAGCUCUAUGGAGUGGCCUAAGGUGGUUUAUAUGCUCUGUUUGAACCUAUUUUAGACAUCCAUAUUAUUGUAUGUGGUUCUUGAACAGUGACUAGGGAAGAUGCAUCAAGCUGGAGUAGGGAAGGUUUUUUUCCUAUUUACAUCACGCUAUAUGGGAACUUGUGGCUUUUAGCUUGAAAAUUCGGGAAAGGAAGCAAUCUGUAACUGUGCUGUUGUGUGGGACCAGUGGUCGUGGCAAAUCUACAUUGUCAGCACUGCUGCAGGUUGGGUAUCAUGACUGUGAUAUCUACUGACUCAAUUCUUCAUAUGUUGAGGAGCUUUGUAGAUGAAAAGAAAAAUCCCUUGGUUUGGGCUUCAACAUACCAUGCUGGGGAAUAUUUGGAUGCAAAAACUAUUGCAGCAGCAAAGGCCAAAAGAACAGCUAAAAAAUUAGCUGGUGUUUCUCGGCCCCUACCAAAAGAUGAUGCCUGAUGGUUCUACAGUUGGAAAGUCUAAUACCCAACCACCAGAAGUGGGUUCUAAUGCUGCUGAAUUUAUCAGGCCGAGACAAAUGGCCAUUGAGGGAUUUAAAGCACAAAGUGAAAUGGUCAUUGACAGC